AGCAUGUCCAGGAAAGAAAAAAAAAUCAUUAUUUUGUCAUAUUGGGCCAACAUUUGAGGGUUUUUGAACAUAAACCUGGAAGUUUUAUGCCCUUGGUGGUGAUGGCACAUCAGGAUCCAGGAUGAUGGACCAAAGCUUGUCAGCUCUAAUCACAGAGUAUGGAAAACAUGUGCAAGAAAUGAGAGAACAGCUGCAGCGUUAUCAGGCACAAAUGGGUGAGAUGAAGCUAAAAUUGGAAGAAGUCACCAAGGAAAAUGAAAGGUA
rnacentral:lncRNA from 1 species